rnacentral:rRNA from 1 species
GACAGAGGUGCCGAGCGUUAGGCGGAAUCACUGGGCUUAAAGCGUGUGUAGGCGGGUCGUUAAGUACCUUGUGAAAUCCCACGGCUCAACCGUGGAACCGCUGGGUGUACUGGCGAUCUUGAGAGACCUAGGGGUCACCGGAACAGGCGGUGGAGCGGUGAAAUGCGUAGAUAUCGCCUGGAGCGCCGGCGGCGAAAGCGGGUGACUGGAGGUCUUCUGACGCUGAGACACGAAAGCCAGGGGAGCGAACGGG